GCAGGAAUCGUUGUAUGGCAUUGGAAGGAAUGGGAAGUCCUCUGAGGAAUGCGGGCUCUCACAGGGCCCAACAACAGACACAGGUCGAACCCCCACAGAUUCUUCGGCCUCCUCUCGAGCUCGAUGCGGUUCACCGACUCGCCGGUGGUGGAACUCCCCGUGGGCGGCGCCGUCCUCACCUUGGAACACGACAACGGCUCCAUGCACGUCGGCAUCUCCGUCUGGCCCUGCUCCCUCAUAUCGACCUCGGCCUCGACGUUGUGUUAACCGACAUCGCCCCCGUGAUGCUCGCCCUCCGCCCCAAUUUGCAUGGAUAUCAAAGGGCUUGUCAUACUAUGGCAAUUUGAGCAUAGGUUUUUCAAACACAACAAUAAAAUCUCCUGUCGGCAGCUGUCUCACCAAAAUCAAAAUUUAUUGCCUACAACUCCUCGUCGAAGUUUUUAAGCCACCCAAGAAAACUCUAGACUCCACCAAAUAGUACAAGGCCCGCCUCGGUGACGUCGCAACUCGGUCAGUCCAAUGCCCAAGUUAUGCAUAUCGACCAGUUCAAUACCCGAGUUACACACCUCGGUCAACCAGUGGCCAAGUCACACAUCUCGGCCAGUCCGAUGCUUGAGUUAUGCAUCUCGACUAGUCUAAUGCCCAAGUUAUGCAUCUUGGCUGGUCUAGUGCUCAGAGUCGUGCAUCUCGACCAACUAGUGCCCGAGUCACACAUCUUGGCUACUCAGAUACCCGAGUUAUGCAUCUCGGCUAGUUUAGUACUCGAGUUAUGCAUCUUGGCCAGUUCAGUGCCUGAGUUAUGCAUCUCGACCAAGCUAGUGCUGAAUCUCGACCGAUCUAGUGCCCGAGUUAUGCAUCUUGGCCAAUCCAGUGCCCAAGUUAUGCAUCUUGGCAAAUCCAAUGCUCGAGUUACGCAUCUUGGCCAAUCUAGUACUCGGGUUAUGUAUCCGGUCAGUCCAGUACCCAAGUUACGCAUCUUGGCCAAUUAGCGCCCGAGUCAUGCACCUCAGCCAAUCCGGUGCCCGAGUCAUGUAUCUCGACUAGUCCAUUGCCCAAGUCAUGCAUCUCGACCAUUCUAGUGCUCAAGUUAUACAUCAUGGCUAGUCAAUGCCCGAGUUAUGCAUCUCGACCAAUCUAAUGCCCGAGUUACGCAUCUUGACUAGUCUAGUGCUUGAGUUAUGCAUCUCAGUUAGUUUAGUACUCGAGUUAUGCAUCUCGGCCAACAAACUCUCGAGUCUUGCACCUUGGCCAAUAUAGUGCUCGAGUCAUGUAUAUCAGUCAAUCCAAUGCUGAGACAUACAUCUCGACCAGUCCAAUGCUCGAGUUAUGCAUCUCGACCAGUCCAGUGCCCGAGUUAUAUACCUCAGUCAAUUAAUAUCAAAGUUAUGCAUCUCGACUAGUUCAAUUAAUGUCAAAGUUAUGCAUCUCGACUAGUCCAACGCUCAGAGUUAUCCAUCUCAAUUAACUUGUGUUCGUACUAUGAAUCUCAGACAUACCAGAGGCUCACAGUAACGAGUAAAGGAAAUUGAGGCAGACCACUUAGCUCAAAGGGGGACCAUGAUAGGAGAACUCAAGCUCCCAACAAAACUGUGGACCCAGCCAAAGAAAGCACCAAGUGAUGCCUCGAGCCCCUCUACAGGGAAUCCGAUGCAUGCCUCUUGUGGGGUUUGUGGGGUGGGGGGGAAGAGAAUGAUAGGGCAUAUUUUCACAUCACCCCCACGACUGCAUUCAGCUACCAUUUCAACAGCUGAUGUGGCACCCCGAGGCUGAUGUGACACCCACAUGCACAUCGACAUGGCACCUUGGAAUUGUACGAGAUAACAGACUGCACUUACGUCAUCAGCGAAGACUCGUACAAUACAAGCGACUACGCCUGUGUCGCCCGAGGCUGUAUAGGGCGAUGCUGCACAGUGCAGAGUCGCUCGGGAAGGCGUGAAACGACAUGGCAUGGUGCAAAGCCAUGCAGGUCGGUUAGCGUCUACGUGAAAUACACGAGCCCAUCGCUUGGAGCGUCGAUGACCAUUAACGAACCAAGUACGAUCAACCCUAGAACGCAAGUAUAAAAAUCGGCCUAUCGGCUAGCCCAAGGGUUCGGAUCUUAGACACUUAAAUCUACCCCAUCACUACUAUACUAACAUAAACUUCGGAAGGGUCGAGUCGGGAUUCCCUCUCCCGACUUUGGCUUGUGUGCAGGAGCCCAACAAGAAAGGAAAAGCAAACCCUAACUCUACUUUGAAUUGGCUCGACAGACGACGUCCCAACCUGACAUCACAUCGACUCUCUCCAACCAAGAAACCAUGUUGAUGACCUUAUGCACUGAGAUCGGAUCGAAUCGUACUGACAACUCGGCCACGGUGUGAGGAUGAUCGGUAUCACGUUUUCUGAUGCACCUUUGGUUUCUUCCCGUGCAAUGAAAUCGAAUGCGAUCGAAAUCUUACGACAUAAAGACUAAGUAAGAACAGGUUGAAUCAAUCCAACCGCUUCCUCGAUCCAAUUGAAUCGAUCAGUUUGCUUAGAAACUUUAGAACAAGUGUUCUAACAUGCCAAAAUUAUCAAAAUGAGGAUUUAUAAUUUAUAAAAUUCCUAGAAUUUCAUGAUUAAAUAAUCAAAACAUAUUUCUAAAAUAUAAUAUCAUAAUUCUAAAUUUAAAAUGAGAUGGAUCUUGAAAAUUCUAAAAUAAAUAACCUAAUUUUAAUUUUAAUUUAAUUUAUUGGGGUUUCUACGGUGGGACCUGGAUCGACCCGCCACGUUAGCCCUCGUACCCGACCUGCUGAGCGCAAACCCAAAUCGACCAUUCUCGUCGAUCCCCCGCAGACUCUUCGCCCUCCUCUCCAGCUCGAUGCGUUUCACCGACUCGCCGGUGGUGGAACUCCCCGUGGGCGGCGCCGUCCUCACCUUCGAGCAGGACAACGGCUCCAUGCACGUCGGGACCUCCGUCUGGCCCUGCUCCCUCGUCCUCGUCAAGUUCGUCGAGCGGUGGCUCCCCCGCCCCGACGCCGCCGUUAACCCCUACGCUGACCUCCUCCGCUUCCCC
rnacentral:lncRNA from 1 species